UACGGAGGGGGCUAGCGUUGUUCGGAAUUACUGGGCGUAAAGCGCGCGUAGGCGGCUUUUUAAGUUAGAGGUGAAAGCCCGGAGCUCAACUCCGGAACUGCCUUUAAGACUGCAUCGCUAGAAUUGUGGAGAGGUGAGUGGAAUUCCGAGUGUAGAGGUGAAAUUCGUAGAUAUUCGGAAGAACACCAGUGGCGAAGGCGACUCACUGGACGCAUAUUGACGCUGAGGUGCGAAAGCGUGGGGAGUAAACAGG
rnacentral:rRNA from 1 species